rnacentral:tRNA from 1 species
GCACCUGUAGCGCAGCCUGGAUGAGGGCAAAUAGCGCGGCAGCCUCCUAAGCUGUAGGUCCGGGGUUCGAAUCCUCGCAGGUGCG